AAACCAACCGGGAUUGCCUCAGUAACGGCGAGUGAAGCGGCAACAGCUCAAAUUUGAAAGCCCGCGGGCGUUGUAAUUUGCAGGCGGAUGUUUUGGGGCGGGCGCUGUCUACGUUCCUUGGAACAGGACGCCGCAGAGGGUGAGAGCCCCGUGCGAUGGCGCCUCUAACCGCGUAAAACUCCGCCGACGAGUCGAGUUGUUUGGGAAUGCAGCUCCAAGUGGGUGGUAAAUUCCAUCUAAAGCUAAAUACUGGCGAGAGACCGAUAGCGAACAAGUACAGUGAUGGAAAGAUGAAAAGCACUUUGAAAAGAGAGUGAAACAGCACGUGAAAUUGUUGAAAGGGAAGGGUAUGCGAUUAGCGGCCAGCAGGAGGUGCCUUCUCGUGAAAAGGCCGUGCACCGUCUUCGGACACCGUGCGCGGAGAUGGCGAGGGGGCGCCUGAGGUCUGCGAACUCGAGGUGCUGG
rnacentral:rRNA from 1 species